AUAUGCUUGUCUCAAAGAUUAAGCCAUGCAUGUGUAAGUAUGAACAAAUUCAGACUGUGAAACUGCGAAUGGCUUAUUAAAUCAGUUAUAGUUUGUUUAAUGGUAUUUAUUACUCAGAUAACCGUAGUAGUUCUAGAGCUAAUAUGUGCAACAAACCCCAACAUCUGGAAGGAAUGCAUUUAUUAGAUAAAAGGUUGAUGCGGGCUCUGCCCAUUGCUGCGAUAAUUCAUGAUAACUCGACGGAUCGCACGACCAUCGUAUCGGCGACACAUCAUUUAAAUUUCUGCCCUAUCAAAUUUCGUAAUGAUAUAGGAUUUCGGUCCUAUUACGUUGGCCUUCGAGAUCGGAGUAAUGAUUAACAGGGACAGUCGGGGGCAUUUGUAUUUCAUAGUCAGAGGUGAAAUUCUUGUAUUCAUGAAAGACGAAUAACUGCGAGGAUGGCCCAGUCCCCUAGAAGGAAGUGCCAGAGAGGGUGAGAGCCCCGUUGUGCCCGGACCCCAUCGCACCAUGAGUCCCUCUCUACGAGUUAGGUUAUUUGGGAAUGCAUUCCAAAUCGGGCGGUGAAUUCCAUCCAAGGCUAAAUACGGGCGAAAGACCGAUACCAAAAAAGUACCGCGAGGGAAAGAUGAAAAGGACUUUGAAAAAAACGUCAAAGAGUGCUUAAAAUGGUCGGGAGGGAAGCGGAUGAGGGCCGGCGAUGUGCCCCGGUCGGAUGUGGAACGGCGACGAGACGGUCCGCUGAUCAACUCGGGGUGUGGACCAAACUGUGCGCUAACCUAGAUCCCACAAAGGGUGUUGGUCGAUUAAGACAGCAGGACGGUGGUCAUAGAAGUCGAAAUCCGCUAAGGAGUGUGUAAUAACUCACUUGCCGAAUCAACUAGCCCCAAAAAUGGAUGACACUUAAGUGCGCGACCUGCACCCGGCCGUCGGGGCAAGUGCCAGGCCCCGAUGACUAGGAGGGUGCGGCGAUCGCUGCAAAACCUUGGACGCGAGCUCGAGCGGAGCGGCCGUCGGUGCAGACCUUGGUGGUAGUAGAAAAUAUUCAAAUGAGAACUUUGAAGGCUGAAGAGGGGAAAGGUUCCAUGUGAACGACACUUGCAUAUGGGUUAUUCGAUCCUAAGGGUCUGGGGAACCCCGACAGAUAGCGCGUACUCCGAAAGAGAAUCGGGUUAAAACUCCCUAACCGAGAUGUGGCGGUCGACGGCAAUGUCAGAAAGUCCGGAGACAUCGGCAGGAGCCUUGGGAAGAGUUAUCUUUUCUGUUUAACAGCCUGCCUACCCUGGAAUCGGCUCGGCCGGAGGUAGGCUCCAGCGGCUGGAAGAGCACCGCACGUCGCGUGGUGUCCGGUGCGCUCCCGGCGGCCCUUGAAAAUCCGGAGGACCGAAUGCCGUCCACGCCCGGNAUCCAGAGAACCGAAUGCCGUCCACUAAUGGUCGUACUCAUAACCGCAUUAGGUUUCCAAGGUGAACAACCUCUGGUCGAUGGAAUAAUGUAGGCAGGGGAUAUCGGCCAAAUAGAUCCGUAACUUUGGGAAAAAGAUUGGCUCUGAGGGCUGGGCAUGAGGGUACCAGUCCCGAACCCAUCGGCUAUUGGUGGAUUGCUUGAUCUGCUUCCACGGUGAGAGAGAGUUGCCCCGUGCCAGUCGGGGAACGGUUCCUUCGGGGGCCUUCCCUGCGCAUUGAAUAGCCAACUCAAAACUGGUAUGGACAAGGAGAAUCCAACUGUUUAAUUAAAACAAAGCAUUGCGAUGGUCCCAACAGAUGUUCACGCAAUGUGAUUUCUUCCCAGUGCUCUGAAUGUCAAAGUGAAGAAGUUCAACCAAGCGCUGGUAAACGGCGGGAGCAACUAUGACUCUCUUAAGGUAGCCAAAUGCCUAGUCAUCCACUUAGUGAUGCACAUGAAUGGAUUAACAAGAUUCCCACUGUCCCUGUCUACUAUCCAGCGAAACCACAACCAAGGGAACGGGCAUGGCAGAAUCAGCAGGGAAAGAAAAACCUGUUGAGCUAGACUCUAGUCUGACUUUAUGAAAUGACUUGAGAGGUGUAGUAUAAGUGGGAGCUGAAAGGCGAAUGUGAAAUACCACUACUUUUCACAUUAUUUUACUUAUUCCGUGAAUGGUAAGCGGGGCACUGCCCCUCUUUUUGGACUCAAGGCUCGCUCUGCGGGCCAAUUCGAGCGAAAGACAUUGUUAGGUGGGGAGUUUGGCUGGGGCGGCACAUCUAUUAAAAGAUAACACAGGUGUCCUAAGAUGAGCUCAACGAGAAAAUAAAUCUCGUAUGGAACAGAAGGGUAAAAGCUCGUUUGAUUCUGAUUUCCAGUUCGAAUACAAACUGUGAAAGCGUGGCCUAACGAUCUUUUAGAACUUUGAAAUUCGAAUCUAGAGGUGUCAAAAAAGUUACCACAGGGAUAACUGGCUUGUGGCAGCCAAGCGUUCAAAGCGAAGUUGCUUUUUGAUCCUUUGAUGUCGGCUAUUCCUAGCAUUGUAAAGCAGAAUUCACCAAGUUUUGGAUUGUUCACCCACCAAUAGGGAACGUGAGCUGGGUUUAGACCAUUGGGAGACAGGUUAGUUUUACCCUACUGAUGACAGUGUCGAAGUAGUAAUUCAACCUAGUACGAGAGAAACCAUUGAUUCACACAAUUGGCCAUCGCACUUGGUUGAAAAGCCAGUAGCGCGAAGCUACCGUGUGCUGGAUUAUAACUGAACCCCUCUAAAUCAGAAUUCAGGCUAGAAGCGACACAUACGCCCGCUGUCCUCUUGCCGACCCACAGUAGGGGCCUCAGCCCCCAAGGGCAUGUGUCGUUGGCUAAGCCACCAUGGCGGAAGGGUCGGGGUGGCCACUUUGAAGUACAAUUUCCAUCGAGCGGCGGGUAGAAUCCUUUCCAGAUGACUUAAAUACACGAUG
rnacentral:rRNA from 1 species